GACGGGUAGCCAGGCUUGGAAGUGUGACCGCGGUUGUCAGCUCGUCCGCAGACGCGUCGCGAUGGUGGCCCGGGCGCGCGCUGUCCUGGCGGUGCUGCUGCUGCUCGCGGCUCAGGUGACCACGGCAACUGGGGAGACCCGGUGUAACCCGGGCGAGUAUGAGGUUACCAGCCUUUUCCGCUGCAGCAAACUCUGCCCGGCUGGCUACUACGUCAGCAAAUAUAUAGACCAGGACCACAGCGUCGGAGAAUGCAGGGAGUGCGAGUCUGGAACCUUCCAGGCCCACCCCAAUGAGGAGAGCAGCUGCAUGCCGUGUUCCCAGUGCCGGGAGGAUCAGGAGGUGGUGACUGAAUGCUUCCCAACUAGCGACCGGCUAUGCCAGUGCAAGCAGGGCAGCUUCUACUGCGACUCCAUGGACUGCACAGAGAGCUGCUUCCGGUGCAAAAGGUGUGAAGACAGCACCAUCCUUCAACCCUGCAACGCCACAAGGGAUACAGUUUGUGCCAUAGAAAUUCAUCCAGAGGCUGGAAACCUAAAGUGGUCGUGGAUCCUCCUUGCUGCGACCGUGGUCCUUUCCAUCCCCAUGACCAUCACCACCAUCAUUCUCUACUACAGAAGAAGAGAAAAUCCAAAGGAGCCAGGCAGCCCUUCACCCAGAAGCAUCCAGCCCAAGGAGAUGCAGAUGCCCAUGGACCUUGAGAGGGGCCAACCAACCCCUGGUGUGGAGACCAGGCCGCUGUCGGAGGUGGAGGACUCAGCCCUGGCGCCCGAGGCCAGGACCCGCCCGGGGCCCUCCAAGGACGCUGGGGAAAUCUUUGAGCUACAGGAGCUGGGGGCUGAAGGAAGUCCAGCAGCCCCAGAGCAGACACUACAACAGACUCAAGCUCCAGAGGCCCCCAGGCCCCCAGGCCAAGCAGAGGUGUCCCCUUCCCUCCACAGCCUGGAGCAGGCUGGAAGUUGGAGAUCAAGGUGUCGGCAGGGUCACUUUCUGCCGAGGGCUGUGAGGGAGAAUCUGGUCCAGGCGUCUCCCAGCUUCUGGUGGUUUCCGGCAAUCUGAGAUUCCUUGGCUUGGAGAAGCAUCCCCUCAUCUCUGCCUUCAUCUUCACGUGGCCUUCUCCCUGUGUCUCACAGGAAGACAAUCUGACCCUGCCCACACGUGAAUGGCUGCAAGAAAGAAGAAAUUAAUGCAUCCCCUCCUCAGGGAUGGUCAUUCCAGGAGAUGAUUUGCAAGACUGAUGGUCCUCUUUACUUUACUUCCCCACCGCAUUGCGGAGCACAGGCUCCGGACGCGCAGGCUCAGCGGCCAUGGCUCACGGGCCCAGCCGCUCCGCGGCAUGUGGGAUCUUCCCGGACCAGGGUAUGAACCCGUGUCCCCUGCAUCGGCAGGCGGACUCUCAACCACUGUGCCACCAGGGAAGCCCUAUUCUGCCUUUUUACUUUACUUCCCUGUCUGAUUCUAUAGAAGAAACUGGCAUCCAGACCCCGAUAAGGUGGUUAUUUUGAGACAUAAGUCUGCCAUCUUCUUGGUCUGCCGGCUUUCCAAAUAAAGUCGUAUUUAUU